rnacentral:misc_RNA from 1 species
GAUGAAGAACGUAGCGAAAUGCGAUAAGUAAUGUGAAUUGCAGAAUUCAGUGAAUCAUCGAAUCUUUGAACGCACAUUGCGCCCGCCAGUAUUCUGGCGGGCAUGCCUGUUCGAGCGUCAUUUCAACCAUCAAGCCCCAGGCUUGUGUUGGGGACCUGCGGCUGCCGCAGGCCCUGAAAACCAGUGGCGGGCUCGCUAGUCACACCGAGCGCAGUAGCACAUCUCGCUCAGGGCGUGCGGCGGGCUCCUGCCGUGAAACCCCCCACUGUAACCCCAAAGGUUGACCUCGGAUCAGGUAGGAAUACCCGCUGAACUUAAGCAUAUCAAUAAGCGGAGGA